rnacentral:lncRNA from 1 species
AUGAUUUCCUGGUGGAGCUACACUAUCGUGGCUGUGGAUGAACAUGUACUAUCUUGGACUUUACUACAAUCCUUUGGAUUUUAUCUGGCUGUUGGGCAAUCCAUCCAGACUUGCUGUGGACCAGUGAAGACCAAAAUUACAACACUGAGGUACAUCAACAAUUUAUGCCAAUCCUACUUCUUUCAUAUUCAUUUUAGCUCAAAGAAUCAGAGAAAACAGGCUUUCUCACAGCCCUGUCCCAAAGUUGUCCUAGUAAAUCAUUUCAUUAAAGUAAAUCAUUGCAUGCACAGAUAGCCAGUAUACACAGAUCUUUCUUUAAAUUUCAAGGUUUAUAUCUUUCAGAUACUCAUCUUAGGAGACAUUUAAAAGAAUUCAUUUCAUGAUUCUCUCACAUACAAGCAAAACAUAGCAAGAUAGUAUAUGGGUCAAUAAAGACGUCCUGGGUGUCCUUACCUAUAACAACUUGUAAGUAGGUGAAGCAUAGUACCUUUUCUCAUAGAAGCAUCUACUCCUGGCCCCCCGUUAUGUUUAAGUGCAAUGCCUAGUUUGCAGCUCCUUUUGCAGAGCAUGUUGCUGUGGUGGCAGUUAGGGAAAAGGGAGAGGGAAACCAAAGGUACAGAACAUUUGCCUUCAGACAGAAUUUAUUACUAGAUUUAAAAUUGUGUGAAAAGCCCCCACAUGCAAGAGCUCAGAAGAUAUAAGGCUUUUGCAUAUCUGUGUGUAGAGUAUGCACUCGAUAAGUGUCUGUUGUUCGUCAACAAAAUUAACAAAGGCAACAUUAUCCAAUGCCAAGAGUGUGCUAAAAAUGUUCCUUUAAACAAAUCCAUAAAGGAACUGCUAGAGAAAAAUGAAAUGCUAAAAUAAAUGCAAUUAAAAAAAAAGGUAGACAAAAACUCCUAAAGGAUGGAUUGGAAGAUCAUACCAAACCUGUCAUGGAAAUCAAUCUACAUGAAAUCAAAGUGUGAAAAUGUUUAAUAUCAUUGAUUUGGGACUAUUAAAGGUAGCAUAGCAAUUGCUUAGGAUUGUUGAGGCUUCUAACAAACUCGAACCAACAAAAAUUAUAGGUAACCCACAUUAAAAACCACAGGCUCAUCCCUAGAAUUUUGUCAAGACCAAAGGCAUGUUUCCUAUAAGGAUUUACUAAUGGUGCACUUGAUAAUACAUAUGGUUAGAAGAAUAAAAAUAUGUUAGCAUAAAGCAAAAUAGAAAAGCAAAGCAAAACACCCUCCACAAAUAGAAUAAGUCAGAUUUGAGGUUGUCACUAUAAAUAUUCAAGACAAUUUCCUCCUUGGUUCUAUUUCAUAUUUAAAAAAUAAGGCAUCACACAACAUUUAUGCACCCCCACACCCCAAAUUUCUAAAGUAAUAUUUUGGGUAUUUUUGGUUCAGUAAGUCUAAAACUGUUUUACUCCCUUCCCUUUUAGUAUUAGCAACUAUGUGCAAUUUCAGAGAUACUUCAUCCUUAUGUUUCUUAUUCAUUUGCAAUUAAAAUGAUUCAAAAAGUAACUUUUGACGUUUUUAGAAUUUUUCCCCACGAAGAAAGGAAGGUCAUGCUUUGCCAAGAAGGUAUGAACUUGAAUAUUCAAAGGUUUAAGUUAGGUUUAAAAUUUCAACCACAAGAACAUUCACUGAACUCUCAACUCAGAGAAGUAAAUUCUCAAAUUCUCUGUUUCUUAGCUGCUAAAUUCCCAGGGUCAUGACAGGCAUCUUAACCAAUAAAUUCAAGCCUCUCUAAAGGUGAGAAAUGGCUGAAUUUUGUGGAAGACUAGGAAGCUAUGUUCUAGAGAGGUCCAUCUCUAAUCUUGGGGCUAUGAGAAGAGACAGGAUUAGACUUGAAGAACAGACCAAAGCACAAAAACAUAGCCUCUCAAAACUCACUCAUACCACCUGUACAUCUGAAUUCUGACAGAUAUUAAGAUCCAGGUUCAUAUGCAUUCCAAAGCCAGUGGUGCAUUCUGGAAAGCCAACUGUGCCCUCAACAGACUAAGAUUCUACAGCAAGUUAUCAAAAGCUUGGUUCAGUCAUGUUUUUGUACAAUACUCAGGCUCGGUUCCAUUGAAGCCAACACUAGAUUCAUCUUAUACUAUGUGAAUAAAAGUGAAGAUCAAGUUGAUCUCCAGAGAGUUUCUGACUCUAUUUUUCAUGAGAAAAACCAGUAGGAAGUGCCUUUCUGAGAAAGGGUCAGAUGGACUUCUACCUUUAAGUUCAGAGCUGAGCUACAGCAGGAGAGUCUUCAGGCAUCUACACCUUGCCCUUGUACAUGACAUUUCCUUGAUUUUUCCAGGGUAGCAGAAGGCACAUAAAUGGCCUGUUGCCCUGGAAACUGCAAGGUAGCCUGCCACAGUAUUUUCUUGGCCUGUGUGGGGAGAUGGACAAACCCUACUUGACUGCCGUCAUUAUUAAAGGCAGAAGGAGAAAAUAGUUACAGUUAAGUGCUUCACAAAAUGCCCUACUGUUUAUACCUACUUCUACGCUCCUAGUUGCUUUUAAGGGCCAGGUUUAGGACAAAGUCUAUCUUUAUUUUAUGCAUAGCAGCAACCAUCAUAGACAAACUAGAGAGGGCAAGAAGUGUGGUCAAAAGGACACUGGAUUCAAAGUUGUGAGGUUUGGUUUUAGCCACAAACCAGUUUUGUGACCUUUAGCCAGUCACGUAAGUUAAGCCAUUCCAAGUAUUCUCAUUUGAAAAAAAAAAAAAAUAUAUAUAUAUAUAUACCUGG